CAGCUAUCCAUUUAUAAAGCAGUUCCAUUCAAAGUGAUUAGUGUAACUUUGAGUGGAGAUAAACUACUUAUCCAGCAAACUGCUGGACCAGAGUUUAUGGAUUAAGACCUGUCCUUAAAGACAAAAAUGAGAGAGGCUGGAAAACAGUGGAGGGUAGGAUUUGUCUGAAAUAGUAAUCAGCUUCUACAAACAAAUGGAUAGACCUAAACUGUUC